CAGCAGCCGCGGUAAUACGUAGGUCCCGAGCGUUGUCCGGAUUUAUUGGGCGUAAAGGGAGCGCAGGCGGUUUAGUAAGUCUGAAGUUAAAGGCAUUGGCUCAACCAAUGUAUGCUUUGGAAACUGUUAGACUUGAGUGCAGAAGGGGAGAGUGGAAUUCCAUGUGUAGCGGUGAAAUGCGUAGAUAUAUGGAGGAACACCGGUGGCGGAAGCGGCUCUCUGGUCUGUCACUGACGCUGAGGCUCGAAAGCGUGGGUAGCGAACAGGAUUAGAUACCCGCGUAGUCCCUGUCUCUUAUACA
rnacentral:rRNA from 1 species